GCCGCCGCGGUAACACCGGCAGCUCUAGUGGUAACAAUUUUAUUGGGCCUAAAGCGUCCGUAGCCGGUUUAAUAAGUCUCUGGUGAAAUCCUGUAGCUUAACUGUGGGAAUGCUGGAGAUACUAUUAGACUUGAGACCGGGAGAGGUUAGAGGUACUCCCAGGGUAGAGGUGAAAUUCUGUAAUCCUGGGAGGACCGCCUGUUGCGAAGGCGUCUAACUGGAACGGUUCUGACGGUGAGGGACGAAAGUUAGGGGCGCGAACCGGAUUAGAUACCCGGGUAGUCCUAACUGUAAACGAUGCGGACUUGGUGUUGGGUGGCUUUGAGCUGCUUCAGUGCCGAAGGGAAGCUGUUAAGUCCGCCGCCUGGGAAGUACGGUCGCAAGACUGAAACUUAAGGAAUUGGCGGGGGAGCACCACAACGCGUGGAGCCUGCCGGUUUAAUUGGAUUCAACGCCGGACAUCUCACCAGAGGCGACAGCUGUAUGAUAGCCAGGUUGAUGACUUUGCUUGACUAGCUGAGAAGAGGUGCAUGG
rnacentral:rRNA from 1 species